UGGGGAAUAUUGGACAAUGGGCGAAAGCCUGAUCCAGCCAUGCCGCGUGUGUGAAGAAGGUCUUCGGAUUGUAAAGCACUUUAAGUUGGGAGGAAGGGCAUUAACCUAAUACGUUGGUGUCUUGACGUUACCGACAGAAUAAGCACCGGCUAACUUCGUGCCAGCAGCCGCGGUAAUACGAAGGGUGCAAGCGUUAAUCGGAAUUACUGGGCGUAAAGCGCGCGUAGGUGGUUCAGUAAGUUGAAGGUGAAAUCCCCGGGCUCAACCUGGGAACUGCCUCCAAAACUGCUGAGCUAGAGUAUGGUAGAGGGUAGUGGAAUUUCCUGUGUAGCGGUGAAAUGCGUAGAUAUAGGAAGGAACACCAGUGGCGAAGGCGACUACCUGGACUGAUACUGACACUGAGGUGCGAAAGCGUGGGGAGCAAACA
rnacentral:rRNA from 1 species